rnacentral:lncRNA from 1 species
AAGAAAUAAGUAUUUCACUUUCUCAUUAAUCACUUAUUUAUAAACAUAGGUAAAAUACUUAAUUUGUUUCUUAUGGAGUUAUGGGUGAGUUUAUCUUUUGUACUCAAGAUUUGUAACAAAUUAUUUCGUAGUCCGUUAUGAUUAUUUUUGCGUCCCCGGCCAUGCGGCCACUUGUAUUUUCCCUACAUGUUUAUUGAUCCUGCAUUUAAAAAAUGUCAUAAUAAUUAAUCAACUGUGAAAUUUAUUUAAAUUAUGAUCAUACUACCAUGUCCUCUUUAUGUGCAUCCAUCGAUUUAGCACGACCAUGGUAAACCAUGAAGUUCUUUUUCGUCUUCUUUGUUUUGGAAGUACUCUUUUGCCAAACUUCUGCAAAAGAAGCAUCGACCAUGUCUUUUUAGAUGGCAUUCGAAAUCCAACUCUGGGAGAACUUAGUGAAGGAGUAUCGAUCCAUAUCUCAGGCAAAUCCAACUUCGCACCAGACAUUAAUUCUUCCAAGCGACGUAAAUGGUGUUCUUCUAUGUCUAUUGAUCAUUUAAUGCAUUUCUCUUAUAAGUUAAAUGGAGAAUACAACCCUUGGAGAAGAAAACAAUUAUGGAAACCCUAGCUAGCUAGGAUGACCUUAAAAGACUUACCUAAAGAUGAUUGAGGUUAGAUUCUUGGAGAAUUUUGCCAAGGCUCUCGAUGAAAAAAAGUGAGAUCAUAAGAAGCUCUGAAUGAGAAAAGAUGGAGAAAUAAUAACGCGUUCUUCU